AAUAUUAAGUUAAUAAUAUUGUUUUUUAACCAAAAUAAAUUUUAAAGAUUUAUCCCGGUAUUAAUCGUGGCUGUAUCGUGAUUGGCCAAAAUUUCAAACUUUGACUUUCGUGAAUUCUGAUUGGACAAUUGCCAUUCCGCCAUCAAAUUUUGAAAUGGGCAAAGAAGACAGGAGUUGUUGUGAAGAUUUUCCUGAUUUUUUCAAGAAAUAUGCAGAAUCACAGCGUGUUGUAUGUAGUAAUGAAACUGCAAGCAGUGGUUUCAUAAAGAUAGACAUGCUUAAGACCUGGAUGAUAUGGCUUUAGUUGUGGAUGACCAUUUCCAUUCAGGAAAAAAUCCCAACCAAGUCCAGCUAGCAGACUGUACACCAGAUUGAAGAUACAUCAUUAAUACAAGAUGAAAAAAAUAAUGGAGGACGAGGAUAAUACUAUGAAAGAGAUCAUAUGCAAGAGCAACCGUUCCCAUAGAAAUACAUGCAGCCAUGUAAAAAGAAACCAGUUUUCACCUGCCAGGUGCUGGUCACAUAUAUAUUCAACUUGGAAGUUCAACAGAUUCAAGAAACAGAUCCAGUUGUUUGCUGAUAAAUUACUGCAGGUCAUUGGUAUCAUCUAGAACCAGGACUGUUUUAAAAAUCAUACUAGUAUGUUUGGAACAAAAUCAUGCUAGUAUAUGUUAGGAAUUUAACCUAAAACAUGCUUUAAUUAUGAAGGUUUUGGUCAAAUUUUGGUUUACAAAAUAAUG